rnacentral:lncRNA from 1 species
UUCUUGGCCACUUCAACAGUGUUGGGUUUGGUGUCUGCAGACAUGAUGGGUGGGGAAGUGCCUGGUUAGUCCUUCCUUCAGUCUUUAUUACAUUUUUUUUGUCCCUGAUCUUCCUUUGGACAGGAACAUUUCUGGGUUAAAACUUUGAGAUGGGUGGGUGGCCCCAUCCCUUGACCAGGAGCUGUGCCUAUCUACUGGAGGUAGUCUCAACAGGUUCUAUCUCCCCAUUCUUUGCACAUUUUGGUUAAAGUCACGCCCAUUGGGUCCUGGGAGCCUCAUGUUUCCUGGGUGUCUAGGACCUCCAGUGGCUAUCCCCAGUUCAUCAUCCUUCACUGCUACAUAUUUUUGUUUUAUUUCCUGACCCUUUGUACCGUAGCCUCCCACAAGCCUGAAGCAGGCUGAGCCAGAACUUGAUUCUGCUGCCACUAAGGAGAUUAUCUAGGGUGGAGCCUUCCUCCCUAGAUCACUCUAUUGUUCAGCCACUGUCCCUGUUCCUCUUCAAGAUACUGCUACCUGCUGAGAGGCCCCAGAGCUAUUCUGGAGACUAUGCCCUAUCCUGCACAUCAUCACCGGCAGCUGGUUCCAGGCUCCAAGAAUGAAUUGGCUGGAAUGGGCCUCCCCCCUGCUUUAUAAAGGGUGUCCACCAUUAAACAUUUGAACCUUGAGCAGACUAGCAUGUCUUGGUUCCAUUAUUUCUCAACCCGCCUAGGUUCCCUCUUUUCUUUCUGCUCCAGCAACACUGUACAUUUCUGAUAUCUCCUUCAGUUCCAGAUACUGCCCUCCUUAUUUCUUCCUCCUCCUCUCUCCCUCCCAGGUCCCCUUCUCCCUCUUCCUACCACAUUUGUCCUGUUUCCCCCUCAAUGCAGGACUGCAGCAUCUACACCCU